UGGCCUGCCAAGAGAUCCAGACUGGUCGGCCAAAGUUCGGUUAGAGUCGGUAGCGAGGUCUGGUACCCAUAGGAGUUUGGGCGAGGUCUUCCCGCAGUCGGAAUAGAAGAUGGAGUCUAGCUUCCGUAGGAGUCCGGAGAAAGUCUACUUGCAGUUGGGGUCGUGGACGGAGUCUGACUCCCGUAGGAGUCCGGACGAAGUCUACUUGUAGUUGGGGUCGUGGGCGGAGUCCGGCUCCCGUAGGAGUCCGGACGAAGUCUUUCUGCAGCC
rnacentral:lncRNA from 1 species